UAUUUAUUCGCAGAUUUGAAACAUAUUUGCCACGACUUAGCUUCCCAGUACAAUCAAAGGGGAAAGUGGCAACGGCAGAGAAGCUUCAUCAGAUCUUCAAGGUCUACAAUUUGAUCAGGAGAAAAAAAAGUAGAUACUGGUUUUUAAGUGGCCUGGCAUAUGUUUGCUUUUCACCUUUGAAAAGUUUUCCAAAACCUAAAAUAAAGGGGUUUUAUUUCAGAUCACGCCAUCACGUUUCUUCUCAUCCACGGACCUCAGAACUUUUUCACCCUGAUUUUGAGGAGGAGCAACCAGUCAUGAGUUGAUGGGACCAGCAAGAUCCAGGGGGACCCCAUGACAGCACAGCUGGGCCUCUAGGGUAUCACCUGCCCACAGCAGAGAGGCAGAGAGUACCUGGCGGGUACCCCGCUUUCUUUCAACAACUUUUUUCCAGGCUAGAAAAGAAAAACCCAACCACAAGUUCUCAUCUUUUCAACAGUGUGGGCUGAGUGGUCAUUCCUCGCCACUAGGGGGCUUCAUGUCCUUCCAAGACUCUUUUUGCUCUCAUAUUAAGACCAGCACCAUCAUACCUCCAGGCAACAUCAAACAGCAUCUCAGAUGACAUCAGAUGAGGGGGCCUCUCCCAUCUAGUGCCACUGUGCAUUCUCACCUGCUGGGAAGAGCUGGGCAUCAGGAAGAGGGUGUACUUGAUACUUUGUUUCAUGGCCAGGAAGUUUGGUUGCCGGGCUUUCCACAUAUUGCCGUCAGAGCCUGACAGCAGGGCUGCCCUCAUGAGCUGAUCUUCUCCCCCCUUAUCGCUGCUGUCCUACAGCCCAGAGGACCUGCGUGCCACGAAGGAUCCAUCAAAUCCUCCCGGACACUGUCUGAGAGGCAACAGAGCUGGAUCCAAGAUCAUCAAUGAACACCCUGAGCGUUUCCUUAAAGGUCAGGCUCAUGACGUCCUUUUCAAAGCUAUCUAUGAGUUCCCAUCGUGGCGCAGUGGAAACGAAUCCGACUAGGAACCACGAAGUUGUGGGUUCGAUCCCUGGCCUCGCUUCGCUGGUUAAGGAUCUGGCAUUGCUGUGGCUGUGGUGUAGGCCGGCGGCUACAGCUCGGAUUAGACUCCUAGCCUGGGAACCUCCAUAUGCUGCAUGUGCGGCCCUAAAAAGACAAAAAAAAAAAAAA
rnacentral:lncRNA from 1 species